UUAUCGUAGUAUCAAACACUAAGUUGGCGGGAAUUUACUCUUUCACAGGCCAACAAUGCCGCAUUUACAUGUGAGUCUUCUGUGCCUGUCAGUUACGAUUGCAUCUGUCAUUUGCCAAGAAUAUGAUUACAUUUUAGUCAUGAACAGCGUGCCAGAACAUAACUAUGAUCAUAAAAAGACGAGAAAUGCCUAUCCAGAACGUACUUAUGGUGACAAAACAUUGAAAAACCUUGAUAAAAAUAUAAAAACAAUGAAGAGCAUCGAAACACAUAAUUAUGAUCAUAUAAAAACUUUGAGUGACGUUUUAGAUGUUUCUUCUGGCGGCAGGACGCUAAAAAGCGUUGAAAGACACAAUUAUAAAAAAACUCUAAGUGGCGUUCCAAAAGUUACUUAUGGUGACACAACACUGAAAAGUAUUGACGAAGACAACUAUGAUUAUAUAAAAACCUUGAGUGGCGUUCCAAGCCGUUCAUUUAGGGAUAUGACACUGAGAGGCAUUGACCAACACGAUGAUGAUCAUAUAAAAACUUUAAGUGACGUUCUAGAACUUGUUUCUGGCGACAAAGCAGUGAAGAGCAUUGACAAACACAGCUAUGAUCAAAUAAAAACCUUGAGUGAUUUUCUACAACGCAUAAAUAAUGAGAAAGCAUCGAAGAAUAUUGACAACCAUAAUUAUAAUCAUAAAACAACUUUAAGUGACGUUCUUGAAAAUACAAAUGGCCAAAAAUUACUCAAUCGGAUUGAAGAACACAACUAUGAUCAUAUAAAAACUCUAAGUGGCGUUCCAAAAGUAACUUAUGGUGACAAAACACUGAAUGGUAUUGAAAAACACAAAUAUGAUCAAAUAAAAACCUUGCGUGAUUUUCUAGAACGUACUAACGAAGACAAAGUACCGAAGAACAUUGACAAACAUAAUUAUUAUCCUAUAAAUACUUUGAGUGACGUUAUUGAAAGUACAUAUGGCGACCAAUUACUUGAUCGAAUUGAUGACAACUAUGAUCGUAUAAAAACCUUGAGUGAUUUUGUAAAACGUACUAAUGAUGACAGUUUUAAUUAUGAAAAUAUUAAAACUUUGAUUGACAUUCUUAAAAAUAUAUGUGACGGCCAAUUACUCGAUCGUAUUGAAGAACACAAUUAUGAUCAUAUAAAAACCUUAAGUGAUUUUCUAGAACGUACUAAUGACGACAAAGCACCGAAAAGCAUUGAUGACUUUAAUUGCGAUAAUAUAAAAACAUUGAUUGAUAUUCUUCAAAAUAUAUAUGACGGCAAUUUACUCAAUCGCACCGAAGAACACAACUAUGAUCAUGAAAAAACUCGGAGUACCGUUCCAAAAGUUAUUUUUGGUGACAAAACACUGAAGACUAUUGAUAAACACAAAUAUGAUCAAAUAAAUACCUUGAGCGAUUUUCUAGGACGCACCAAUGACGAGAAAGCGUCGAAGAAUAUUGACAAACAUAAUUUUAAUCAUAAAAUAACUUUAAGCGACGUUCUUGAAAAUACACAUGGCCACAAAUUUCUCAAUCGCAUUGCCGAACACAACUAUGAUCAUAUAGAAACUCUUAGUGGCGUUCCAAAAGUAACUUAUGGUGACAAAACACUGAAUGGUAUUGACAAACACAAAUAUGAUCAAAUAAAAACCUUGAGUGAGUUUCUACAACGCACCAAUAACGAGAAAGCAUCGAAGAAUAUUGACAAACAUAAUUUUAAUCAUAAAAUAACUUUAAGCGACGUUCUUGAAAAUACACAUGGCCACAAAUUCCCCAAUCCCAUUGACGAACACAACUAUGCUCAUAUAGAAACUCUUAGUGGCAUUCCAAAAGUAACUUAUGGUGACAAAACACUGAAUGGUAUUGACAAACACAAAUAUGAUCAAAUCAAAACCUUGAAUGAGUUUCUACAACGCACCAAUAACGAGAAAGCAUCGAAGAAUAUUGACAAACAUAAUUUUAAUCAUAAAAUAACUUUAAGCGACGUUCUUGAAAAUACACAUGGCCACAAAUUCCCCAAUCCCAUUGACGAACACAACUAUGCUCAUAUAGAAACUCUUAGUGGCAUUCCAAAAGUAACUUAUGGUGACAAAACACUGAAUGGUAUUGACAAACACAAAUAUGAUCAAAUCAAAACCUUGAAUGAGUUUCUACAACGCACCAAUGACGAGAAAGCAUCGAAGAAUUUAGACAAACAUAAUUAUAAUCAUGUAAAAAGUUUGAGCGACGUUCUUGAAAGUACAUCUGAAGACACACACGAACACAACUAUGAUCAUAUAAAAACUCUUAGUGGCGUUCCAAAAGUAACAUAUAGUGACAAAACACUGAGUGGUAUUGACAAACAUAAAUAUGAUCAAAUAAAAACCUUGAGUGAUUUUAUAGAACGUACUUACGAAGACAAAGUACUUAAGAACAUUGACAAACAUAAUUAUUAUCCUAUAAAUACUUUGAGUGACGUUAUUGAAACUACAUAUGGCGACAAAUUACUUGAUCGAAUUGAUGACAACUAUGAUCGUAUAAAAACCUUGAGUGAUUUUGUAAAAGGUACUAAUGAUGACAGUUUUAAUUAUGAAAAUAUUAAAACUUUGAUUGACAUUCUUAAAAAUAUAUGUGACGGCCAAUUACUCGAUCGUAUUGAAGAACACAAUUAUGAUGAUAUAAAAACCUUAAGUGAUUUUCUAGAACGUACUAAUGUCGACAAAGCACCGAAAAGCAUUGAUGACUUUAAUUGCGAUAAUAUAAAAACUUUGAUUGAUAUUCUUCAAAAUAUAUAUGACGGCAAAUUACUCAAUCGCACCGAAGAACACAACUAUGAUCAUAAAAAAACUCGGAGUACCGUUCCAAAAGUUAUUUUUGGUGACAAAACACUGAAUGGUAUUGACAAACACAAAUAUAAUCAAAUCAAAACCUUGAGUGAGUUUCUACAACGCACCAAUGACGAGAAAGCAUCGAAUAAUAUUGACAAACAUAAUUAUAAUCAUAUAAAAACUUUGAGCGACGUUCUUAAAAGUACAUCUGAAGACAAAUUACACAAUCGCAUUGACGAAGACAACUAUAACCAUAUAAAAACCUUAAGUGAUUUUCUAGAAGGUACUAAUGACGACAAAGCACCGAAGAACAUUAAGAACUACAAUUAUUAUCAAAAAAAAACAUUGAGUGACAUUUUAGAGCAUACUAAUGGCGAUAAAUUACUCAAUCGCAUUGACGAAGACAACUAUGAUCAUAUAAAUACCUUGAAUCAUUUGCUAGAGCGUACUUAUGACGACAAAACACC